rnacentral:lncRNA from 1 species
AUGGGUCAGAAAGAAUGAAACAUCUUUUGAGGACUCUUGGAGAUGCUGAACCCAAAAGUUGGAAGACUAUAUCAAGUGAGUAUAUAAAGUGACCAUUUCUUAUUAUCGCCCCUAAUAAUACCCAUAAAUAGAAAUUUUAUUCAACCAAGAAAAGCCUCAAGUGUUCGUUUAAUUACAUGUUAUGAUUGCUGUUGAAGAGCAAACUAUUUGCAAACAAAGCUUGAGAAAGAAAUGAUGAGUAAUGUGCUAAAAGGACAUCAGGGUGGGUGAUCCUCUUCUUUCCCCUCCCUUUGGCACCACUUCAGUAUAGGGCCCACCUCAAACAAGCCUUGCCACUGCCUUUAUCAUACUGACCUAGAUCAACCUUCUGGAAAGUACUGCCACUUUCUUGCUUAAAAACCUUCAAGUUCUCCAUUAUGUACCAAUAAAGCCCACAUUCCUCAUCCUAAUAUUCAAGGCCUUACAUCAUCUGUCCCAGAGUCUAGCAGUCCAGUCUUAUUUCCCACUACUCCCCUGUCCCUGUGCUCAGCCUGUGGGAUCUCCUUUCAGUUCCCACAACAAACAACACGCUUUCCUGCCCUGAGGCCUUUGCACAUUUUCUUGACCCCAUCCCUCCACCCACUUCAUCUACCUGUUUUCCAAGGCCCAGAUUAGAUACCACCCUAUUCUAGUUGACAGGGAGACUUGGUGGUAGCUUUUCACUUUUGCCAUUCAUUUGGCACUUAUCAUAUCCCUCCUUAGGCUUGGAGGUAAUUCCGGCAGUUCCAAAACUUGUUCACAAAGUCUCUGGCCCUCAGAAUUACUCUUCUCUUUAGCAGCUGCAGCAACCUGGUGAACGCAAGUUAUCCGACUCAACUCCCUCAACUUCCAACUCCUUCCUAGCUGGUCUUCCAACUCAAGUUAUAGAACACGGACUUUUCCUCUAGGUCCAGGCUUUCACUGUUCUCUCUCUCCUUUAUUUAUUGAAUCUUGCUUACUCUUUUGGCUUACUCCCAAAGUAUAACCAAGUCUCUUCUUCCUAAAAACAAAAUGAACAUGAAACUUCUCUUUUCUUUCACCUUCCUUUUCCUUAAGUCAAGGUACACUCUCUCCUCUUUUCUGAUACACUUCUCUUAUUGCAGUCUGAGCUGAGGGUCUGCCACUCUACUGAAAUGGACAUUUGGAAGAUCAACCAAAACUUCUAAAUGCCAAAUUCCAGUCUCUGCUCCUCCUUGAACACCUGUCUUCCUGGGACUUUUUCACCUACUUCUCUGACUAUUCCAUCACUGAUUUUUGGGUUUUCCCCACUCAAGGUUUGUUCUUUGGUCCUCUUUGCAAACUUUUGCAUCUAUGAGGAUAAUUCUUAGGUUUGUUUCUACCCCUAACUUCUCUUCUAAGCUUCCUUUCCAGUUGUUUGCUAGACUUUGUGUGUGUGUGUGUGUGUGUGUGGAUGUCCCAUCUACUUCUCCAAGACAGUAAGUUCCAAAGUUAAUUUAUUAUAUUCUUCCUCUUCUAGGUCUUCCCCAAGCCUUUUUUUUCUGUCUCCUUUCCUUUCAGUCUCAGCCAAUGGGGUGCAUCACCUCCUUUCAGUUAUUUACCUUUAAUUUCUCUUCCUGGGUAUCCUUCCCUGCUGCUUCAUUUAGGAACUGGUCACAGAUUAACAUGUGAUCUUUGAGAAAAUGAUUUCAGUAGAGUUGUUAGUGGUAGUGGUGAUAGUCUGGGGGAACUCAGGAAAGAAGUGAGGAAAGAACUGCGGUGGGGCUGGCCUGGUGGAUGGUGGUGAAGUUCGUGAGCUCCUCUUCAGUGGCCUGUGGUUCCUGGGUUGGGAUCCCAGGUGCAGACCUGCUCACCACUCAUCAAGCCAUGCUGUGGUGGUGUCCCACCAGUGGAGGCCAGGGGACAGAGAAUCCUAGAUUGGGGUUCUGGCUCAGGCUGGGGAAAAGGAGACGACCCGAGGUGGAGGAGGCUCUGACGUCGGGGGACCGGAGAGAUGUUUU